rnacentral:rRNA from 1 species
GAUGAACGCUGGCGGCGUGCCUAAUACAUGCAAGUCGAGCGAACAGAUAAGGAGCUUGCUCCUUUGACGUUAGCGGCGGACGGGUGAGUAACACGUGGGUAACCUACCUAUAAGACUGGGAUAACUUCGGGAAACCGGAGCUAAUACCGGAUAAUAUUUCGAAUCGCAUGGUUCGAUAGGGAAAGAUGGUUUUGCUAUCACUUAUAGAUGGACCCGCGCCGUAUUAGCUAGUUGGUAAGGUAACGGCUUACCAAGGCGACGAUACGUAGCCGACCUGAGAGGGUGAUCGGCCACACUGGGACUGAGACACGGUCCAGGCUCCUACGGGAGGCAGCAGUAGGGAAUCUUCCGCAAUGGGCGAAAGCCUGACGGAGCAACGCCGCGUGAGUGAUGAAGGUCUUCGGAUCGUAAAACACUGUUAUUAGGGAAGAACAUACGUGUAAGUAACUGUGCACGUCUUGACGGUACCUAAUCAGAAAGCCACGGCUAACUACGUGCCAGCCGCCGCGGUAA